CUCAACUCACAGAAUGACAUCUCCCAAGUUCUCUCAGUAGCCUUUUUGAUCAGCUCUGCCUGCCUUUCCGUCACCAAGAUCCCCUAAUUUUACAAGCAGUCAGCUUUGUUUCUUGCUGAAAGCUAUUCUUUAUAGGAUGUAUGGGAAGUACGGCUAGACUGAGAAAAUGACAUUCAAGGCAUGUAAAAGCUAAGAUGUCCAUGCUGGCUGUGGAAUUCUGAGAGCUGCAAUCCAAAGAUGAGACAUUUUCCUUCUCUGAAUGAUAGCCGUUUCUCUCUAUAGAUGAGGGAUUGCUUUGGCAGAGAGAGCAAACAGAUGCCCUGUGCAAGGUGCUUCUUCCAGCUGCUCCUUAAGGUGGCCUUGUCACUGGUCUGCCUAGCCCACCAUUGUCUGUGACCUAAACACAUGACAUCUGCUCUGCCCACAAAUGGAUCUGCAAAUGUUGUUGCUCUGCUCCCAAUGGUGCCAUCAGUGAAGAAAUGUAUGCAAAAGAGACUGAAAUUCAUAAAGCCAGAGGCCAUGCUGACUGGAAUAUUCUGGGGAAUGUUAUAAAAAGGUACUUUUUCCAGUUGGAUGAUUGGUCUAUGUAGCUUAGUAUUAUCCCCAAUGACUACCAGUUCCUCUCCAAGAUUUAAGAAAUAUCUUUCCUAGCCCUGCUUCAAUGUACCAUAGAUUGAACCUGGCCUUUCUUCCUUGAGCAGAAGACUCUGCAAUAAUCCUGAAUUUUGUUUGGUAUAUUUGAGUGUACACAGGCAAGCAGCACAGAUUUCUCAUGCUGUGGAGUAAGCAUGUGAAUUAUGCUAAUCUACCACUAUACAGUUCCCCACCAUCACAAAAUUUACUGUGGAUAUCUAUGCCCUCCAUCACUCACAUCAUAAUUGUGGCUAAGAGUAAUAGCUGAUACCCAAAAGGCCUGAAAUACAUUUUCCGUGAUGAUAAGCCCUAUUGGGAAACAGCAACAUUCCUUUUUCCAAGAGAAAGCAAACAAGAUAAUAAUACAACAAUAUUAACCUUCUAAAGUUAUCCGAUUCUGAGUUCCCCACCUUUGGGACAAU
rnacentral:lncRNA from 1 species